rnacentral:rRNA from 1 species
AGUGAACGCUGGCGGUAGGCCUAACACAUGCAAGUCGAACGGCAGCACAGUAAGAGCUUGCUCUUACGGGUGGCGAGUGGCGGACGGGUGAGGAAUACAUCGGAAUCUACUUUUUCGUGGGGGCUAACGUAGGGAAACUUACGCUAAUACCGCAUACGACCUACGGGUGAAAGCAGGGGAUCUUCGGACCUUGCGCGAUUGAAUGAGCCGAUGUCGGAUUAGCUAGUUGGCGGGGUAAAGGCCCACCAAGGCGACGAUCCGUAGCUGGUCUGAGAGGAUGAUCAGCCACACUGGAACUGAGACACGGUCCUGACUCCUACGGGAGGCAGCAGUGGGGAAUAUUGGACAAUGGGCGCAAGCCUGAUCCAGCCAUACCGCGUGGGUGAAGAAGGCCUUCGGGUUGUAAAGCCCUUUUGUUGGGAAAGAAAAGCAGCAGGUUAAUACCCCGCUGUUCUGACGGUACCCAAAGAAUAAGCACCGGCUAACUUCGUG